rnacentral:rRNA from 1 species
UACGUAGGGUGCAAGCGUUGUCCGGAAUUAUUGGGCGUAAAGAGCUCGUAGGCGGUUUGUUGCGUCGGCUGUGAAAUCCCGAGGCUCAACCUCGGGUCUGCAGUCGAUACGAGCAAACUAGAGUGUUGCAGGGGAGACUGGAAUUCCUGGUGUAGCGGUGAAAUGCGUAGAUAUCUGGAGGAACACCGGUGGCGAAGGCGGUUUCCUGGCCGAGUACUGACGCUGAGGCACGAAAGCGUGGGGAGCGAACGGG